CCUACGGGUGGCAGCAGUGGGGGAUAUUGCACAAUGGGGGGAACCCUGAUGCAGCGACGCCGCGUGGGUGAAGGAGCGUUUCGGCGCGUAAAGCCCUAUCGGCAGGGAAGAAGAUGACGGUACCUGACCAAGAAGCCCCGGCUAACUACGUGCCAGCAGCCGCGGUAAUACGUAGGGGGCAAGCGUUAUCCGGAUUUAUUGGGUUUAAAGGGUGCGCAGGCGGAAGAUCAAGUCAGCGGUAAAAUUGAGAGGCUCAACCUCUUCGAGCCGUUGAAACUGGUUUUCUUGAGUGAGCGAGAAGUAUGCGGAAUGCGUGGUGUAGCGGUGAAAUGCAUAGAUAUCACGCAGAACUCCGAUUGCGAAGGCAGCAUACCGGCGCUCAACUGACGCUCAUGCACGAAAGUGUGGGUAUCGAACAGGAUUAGAUACCCGAGUAGUC
rnacentral:rRNA from 1 species